AGAUGUAGGUACAGCAUAUUUAUCCACAGCCAAGCCAAGCAAGGAAGAUGAAGCUCUUAGCUAUACUUUUUGUAGUCAUUGUUACUUUAGUUUCAUCUUCUUCUUCUUCAUCAGUGCUUCACAGUGAUGGCAGAGAAAAGGGUAGGGUGGUGGCGGGAGAGCAGCCCUUGUCCAAGAUAGCUAUCCACAAAACUGUUGCUGCUCUCCGUCUUUCGGUCUCCGUUAAAGUCUCUCCGCGACUCCUCGGAAUUAAAGUACGUAUAUAUUGCUUCAAUAAAUUACUACUCCCUCCGUCCCAACGAAAGCGGUACGCUUCUUUUCGGCAUGAGAUUUAAGGAGAAUAAGAUUGUAGUAUAAAAGUGGGUCCUUUUAGUUACUUACAUCUAUUUCUGAAAGUGGAAAAUUUUCCUUUAUUAGAAUGAAGGCAGGUCUUUUUCAUUGUUUCCGCUAAUAUAUGUGCUACUUAUUUUUUAUUCCUNAGAUACAAGAUACAUAAUUACCAUGAAUUAACCAAGCUACUCAUAUGAAGCUAGUAUAAAUUAGAUCAAAUAUUGAAACAAAUGAAAAUACAACUCAAACCACGUCGGCGAAACAUAUACUAAUUAAUGUGUAUAGCGACCACAUUUUUAUAUACGACGUCGAUGAGACGACAUACAUUAAUUGAGCACGUUUUUAUAUAUUUGGAAUAGAAUUGUUGAAUAGUUACUGAUUUAGCAGUUAUAAAUAUGAGAUGUAGGUAUAGCAUAUUUAUCCACAGCCAAAACAAGCAAGGAAGAUGAAGCUCUUAGCUAUACUUUUUGUAGUCAUUGUUACUUUAGUUUCAUCAUCUUCUUCUUCAUCAGUGCUUCACAGUGAUGGCAGAGAAAAGGGUAGGGUGGUGGCGGGAGAGCAGCCCUUGUCCAAGAUAGCUAUCCACAAAACUGUUGCUGCUCUCCGCCCUUCGGUCUCCGUUAAAGUCUCUCCGCGACUCCUCGGAAUUCAAGUACGUAUAUAUAUAUAUAUAUAUUGCUUCAAUAAAUUACUACUUGUUUUUCUUUAAGUUUGGGCUGUCUUCUUUUGGAUAAAUGUGGAAAACAAUUGUUUUUCCUUCUUUUUCUCCUUUUAGUUACAUCUAUUUCUCAAAGUAGAAAAUUUUCCUUUAUUAGAAUGAAGGCAGGUCUUUUCAUUGUUUCCGCUAAUAUAUGUGCUACUAUUUUUAUUCCUUAAAUUGUCGUUAAAUUUGCUUCUUUUUUUUCUUUUUCUGCACGUGCUGUCCUCGUUAUUGAAUUUUCGUAUAUGUAACCUGCUGGUAGUUAUGCAACAUGAAUCACAUGAGCCUUGGGUAUUUAUUUAUUUACCUAUUUAUUUUUUCUCUUAUGUUUGCACACGUGAAAUGGAUAGAUGAAUAUCUCUCUCCAUAUAUAUAGCAUUGAGUUAUAGUACAAAUUUCAUUUAAUUUAAAAAUUAUAAAUUUUAUACUUAAUGUAUAAGAUAAUUACACUUAACGUAUAAAGUAAUUAUACUUUCGUGCUCCUAUAACUAUAAUGUAAUUGCACCCUUAUAAAAUUUCCAACCCAAAAUCAUAACAAUAUAUACUAUUAAAAUAGUAGGCUUUACCCAUUCUAAAAAAUCAAAAUAAAAAAACUACUCACAUAAAUUAAAAUAUAUAAAUAAUACUCACUUUUUAUAAAAUUUGAUAUUUAUACCUCUAAUGAAAUCAUAAUUUAAAAAAAAAACCCCCAAUUUUGGAAACUGUCGCAACAAACCCCCCUCGCCACCUCUUUCUUUCUCUUUCCCUAUUCUGUUGCCUUCCCCUCCGCGCCUCAUCGCGCUACACCUCUGCCUCGUCGCGCAUCCACAUCUCCGCCUCUCUCUCUCUCNAGAAUGAAGGCAGGUCUUUUUCAUUGUUUCCGCUAAUAUGUGCUACUAUUUUUAUUCCUUAAAUUGUCGUUAAAUUUGCUUCUUUUUUUUCUUUUUCUGCACGUGCUGUCCUCGUUAUUGAAUUAUAUAACCUGCUGGUGGUUAUGCAACAUGAAUCACAUGACUCAUGAGCCUUGCGUAUUUAUAUACUUAUUUAUUUUUUCUCCUAUGUUUGCACACGUGAAAUGGAUAAAUGAAUAUCUCCCUAUAUAAUGGUUAUGCAACACGAAUCACACCAAGCUUGGGUUUCUUUUUCUCCUAUGUUUGCACACGUGAAAU
rnacentral:lncRNA from 1 species